AAUCUACAUUCGACAAAAAUUAAUUUGACAUACAGUCACUGAAUAAAUAAAAUAUACGGUUAUCAAUUUCUAACAGUGGACUAAUCGUUUCAAAUAUCUAGUAGAGCACAUUUAAAAUUCAAUUUUACAGAUUUUUAAUUAUAUUAUAGUACAAUACUACAGUCCCACAGAAUAUAUUAUCUUCUAUUAAGAGAUACCGACAAAAAUAUAAAAUGAUAAGCGUUGUCAAAUAAAAGAAAUGGACCAGAAUUUGUUGAAUUUUUGGAAAAACUACGAGCACAUAAUCGAUUGGGGUUAUCGAAUUUCAGGGGCUAGAGGAACGGAUAGCAGUGGAUCAUCGGCACCAAUCAAUACUGAAACUAUAGAAAUUAAUACUUGUAGAACUUUUAACACCAAUGAAAAUGAAUACGAUGCUUGUGAAUAUUCUUCCGAUAGCAGUGUUGAUAUUGAUUUAGAAUAUUUAAAGUUUUCUAAAAAAACAUUGUAACAUCAAGAAAAAGUAGAAUUAGAAAAGAGAAAAGUUGACAAAGAGUACGGAUUGUGCAAUUCACCAAGUUUUGAAAAUGAAUGUACCAGUACAAUCAAGGUAAAUGAGAUUAAUCCAAUAGAAUUCUAUGGCUCGAAGAUAAAUGAGAUUGAAUGUCUUGAAAAUA